rnacentral:lncRNA from 1 species
GACUCUUAAGUAGCUGAGGAUGACUCUGGACUUCUGAUUCUCCUGCCUCCAGCUUUCACUGCUGGAUUACAGGAGUCGGUGGAGGAGGUAUGUCACAGAAGGGGGCAAGAAGACACUUCCUAAUCCUUCCUGAAGUUCCACCAACUGGGACCAAGUAUUAUAAGACAUGAAUCUAUGGAGGCCGUUCUUCUGUUCUUUCCACCCCCAAAAAUAUGGGACUUANNNNNNNNNNNNNNNNNNNNNNNNNNCGGUGAAGACCACUGACCAUUGGUGGAGACUCACGGCUGCUUUUUACACGAUUACUGUCUGACAAACACACACCCAACCACACUUUGUGCUCCUAGGAAUCAGAAUGCAGGGUCCAUUUGGUUUGAGGUGUGGGGCAUCUUCCUUGGCACAGUGCGGGAGGAAGCCCAUGUUAACCAGGGCAGUUCAAAAGCAAGCUAACGUUUAACGCGUUAAUACACACCAAGAACUGAGGGAGGGAAUGAUCUCUCCGUCCACAUCCUGUCCACCAAGGCAGUGCACAAUGCGGCGUGAGGCCAGUCUUACAAUGUCCAGCCGGGAGAAGUGUUUCAUCUUCCUGGACCUCUCUGUGGUGGGUUUUUCUUUUCAGUUAGUGAUAAUGAUCAGAGUGUGUUGCUGACAGGAGAGUGUGUCUGUGAUACUGAAGUCUAGCUGUGGAAAUGCUGUUCACAUGCUCACACACAAUGCUAGGAAGGAAAUGACAGCUGACGGCCAGCAGUGUCCUGUGGGCGACAUGUCACCCAUCUGGGCAGAUACGCU